rnacentral:rRNA from 1 species
GAAGCCGGAAUUGCUAGUAAUGGCAGGUCAGCAUACUGCCGUGAAUACGUUCCCGGGCCUUGUACACACCGCCCGUCACACCAUGAGAGUUGGGGAUACCCGAAGCCUGUGAGCUAACAUUAUGAGGCAGCAGUCGAAGGUAGAAUCAAUGAUUGGGGUGAAGUCGUAACAAGGUACC